rnacentral:lncRNA from 1 species
GUUUAUGAGGAAGAAUGCCAUCGUUCUAUGUUCUAGAGACAGAGGAUGCUGGAUGAAUUUGAGAGGGAACUGCCGGACUUCAUCGGUUAUGAAGAAGCAGGCGAGGGGACACGGUUACCUCUCAGGUCCCUGCUCUCUUUGGUGAUGGUACUAUUACGACGAAGUCCUGAUGAGAGCCACAGUUCCAAGGGAAGGCUGGCAUGUUUCAGGUGCCUCUGUUUAUUUGCUGCUUAGGAAUUGACUCAGUAGGGGUUGGGGAUUUAGCUCAGUGGGUUCAGUCCCCUGCUCCGAAAAAAGAAAAAAGAAAAA